rnacentral:rRNA from 1 species
GACGAACGCUGGCGGCGUGCUUAACACAUGCAAGUCGAACGGUGAAGCGCCUUCCUUUUUGGUGGGUGUGGAUGAGUGGCGAACGGGUGAGUAACACGUGAGUAACCUGCCCCCUUCUUCUGGAUAACCGCAUGAAAGUGUGGCUAAUACGGGAUAUUCUGGGUCUGUCGCAUGAUGGGUCUUGGAAAGAUAUUGUUUCGGUGGGGGAUGGGCUCGCGGCCUAUCAGCUUGUUGGUGGGGUGAUGGCCUACCAAGGCGGUGACGGGUAGCCGGCCUGAGAGGGUGGACGGUCACACUGGGACUGAGACACGGCCCAGACUCCUACGGGAGGCAGCAGUGGGGAAUAUUGCACAAUGGGCGCAAGCCUGAUGCAGCGACGCCGCGUGAGGGAUGGAGGCCUGCGGGUUGUGAACCUCUUUCGCCAGUGAAGCAGGCCUGCCUCGUUUGUGGGUGGGUUGACGGUAGCUGGAUAAGAAGCGCCGGCUAACUACGUG